CAGCAGCCGCGGUAAUACGUAGGGUGCAAGCGUUAAUCGGAAUUACUGGGCGUAAAGCGUGCGCAGGCGGUCUUGUAAGACAGUCGUGAAAUCCCUGGGCUUAACCUAGGAACUGCGAUUGUGACUGCAAGGCUAGAGUGUGUCAGAGGGGGGUGGAAUUCCACGUGUAGCAGUGAAAUGCGUAGAGAUGUGGAGGAACACCGAUGGCGAAGGCAGCCCCCUGGGAUAACACUGACGCUCAUGCACGAAAGCGUGGGGAGCAAACAGGAUUAGAUACCCUGGUAGUCCACGCCCUAAACGAUGUCGACUGGUUGUUGGAUGGGUAACCAUUUAGUAACGAAGCUAACGCGUGAAGUCGACCGCCUGGGGAGUACGGUCGCAAGAUUAAAACUCAAAGGAAUUGACGGGGACCCGCACAAGCGGUGGAUGAUGUGGUUUAAUUCGAUGCAACGCGAAAAACCUUACCUACACUUGACAUGCCAGAAAUCCCGUAAAGAUAUGGGAGUGCCGCAAGGAAUCUGGGCACAGGUGCUGCAUGGCUGU
rnacentral:rRNA from 1 species